GACGAACGCUGGCGGCGUGCUUAACACAUGCAAGUCGAACGGAAAGGCCCUGCUUUUGUGGGGUGCUCGAGUGGCGAACGGGUGAGUAACACGUGAGUAACCUGCCCUUGACUUUGGGAUAACUUCAGGAAACUGGGGCUAAUACCGGAUAGGAGCUCCUGCUGCAUGGUGGGGGUUGGAAAGUUUCGGCGGUUGGGGAUGGACUCGCGGCUUAUCAGCUUGUUGGUGGGGUAGUGGCCUACCAAGGCUUUGACGGGUAGCCGGCCUGAGAGGGUGACCGGCCACAUUGGGACUGAGAUACGGCCCAGACUCCUACGGGAGGCAGCAGUGGGGAAUAUUGCACAAUGGGCGGAAGCCUGAUGCAGCAGCGCCGCGUGCGGGAUGACGGCCUUCGGGUUGUAAACCGCUUUCGCCUGUGACGAAGCGUGAGUGACGGUAAUGGGUAAAGAAGCACCGGCUAACUACGUG
rnacentral:rRNA from 1 species